UGGGGAAUAUUGGACAAUGGGCGAAAGCCUGAUCCAGCCAUGCCGCAUGUGUGAAGAAGGUCUUCGGAUUGUAAAGCACUUUAAGUUGGGAGGAAGGGCAUUAACCUAAUACGUUAGUGUUUUGACGUUACCGACAGAAUAAGCACCGGCUAACUCUGUGCCAGCAGCCGCGGUAAUACAGAGGGAGCAAGCGUUAAUCGGAAUUACUGGGCGUAAAGCGCGCGUAGGUGGUUUGUUAAGUUGGAUGUGAAAUCCCCGGGCUCAACCUGGGAACUGCAUUCAAAACUGACUGACUAGAGUAUGGUAGAGGGUGGUGGAAUUUCCUGUGUAGCGGUGAAAUGCGUAGAUAUAGGAAGGAACACCAGUGGCGAAGGCGACCACCUGGACUAAUACUGACACUGAGGUGCGAAAGCGUGGGGAGCAAACA
rnacentral:rRNA from 1 species